rnacentral:rRNA from 1 species
GAUGAACGCUGACAGAAUGCUUAACACAUGCAAGUCUACUUGAUUCUUCGGGUGAUGGUGGCGGACGGGUGAGUAACGCGUAAAGAACUUGCCCUGCAGUCUGGGACAACAUUUGGAAACGAAUGCUAAUACCGGAUAUUAUGCGAGAUUCGCAUGUUUCUCGUAUGAAAGCUAUAUGCGCUGCAGGAGAGCUUUGCGUCCUAUUAGCUAGUUGGUGAGGUAACGGCUCACCAAGGCGAUGAUAGGUAGCCGGCCUGAGAGGGUGAACGGCCACAAGGGGACUGAGACACGGCCCUUACUCCUACGGGAGGCAGCAGUGGGGAAUAUUGGACAAUGGACCAAAAGUCUGAUCCAGCAAUUCUGUGUGCACGAUGAAGUUUUUCGGAAUGUAAAGUGCUUUCAGUUGGGACGAAGUAAGUGACGGUACCAACAGAAGAAGCGACGGCUAAAUACGUGCCAGCAGCCGCGGUAAUACGUAUGUCGCAAGCGUUAUCCGGAUUUAUUGGGCGUAAAGCGCGUCUAGGCGGUUUGGUAAGUCUGAUGUGAAAAUGCGGGGCUCAACUCCGUAUUGCGUUGGAAACUGUCAAACUAGAGUACUGGAGAGGUGGGCGGAACUACAAGUGUAGAGGUGAAAUUCGUAGAUAUUUGUAGGAAUGCCGAUGGGGAAGCCAGCCCACUGGACAGAUACUGACGCUAAAGCGCGAAAGCGUGGGUAGCAAACAGGAUUAGAUACCCUGGUAGUCCACGCCGUAAACGAUGAUUACUAGGUGUUGGGGGUCGAACCUCAGCGCCCAAGCUAACGCGAUAAGUAAUCCGCCUGGGGAGUACGUACGCAAGUAUGAAACUCAAAGGAAUUGACGGGGACCCGCACAAGCGGUGGAGCAUGUGGUUUAAUUCGACGCAACGCGAGGAACCUUACCAGCGUUUGACAUCCUAGGAAGUUGGCAGAGAUGCCUUCGUGCCCCUUCGGGGGAACCUAGUGACAGGUGGUGCAUGGCUGUCGUCAGCUCGUGUCGUGAGAUGUUGGGUUAAGUCCCGCAACGAGCGCAACCCCUUUCGUAUGUUGCCAUCAUUAAGUUGGGAACUCAUGCGAUACUGCCUGCGAUGAGCAGGCGGAAGGUGGGGAUGACGUCAAGUCAUCAUGCCCCUUAUACGCUGGGCUACACACGUGCUACAAUGGGUAGUACAGAGAGUCGCUAACCUGCGAGGGGGAGCUAAUCUCAGAAAACUAUUCUCAGUUCGGAUUGUACUCUGCAACUCGAGUACAUGAAGUUGGAAUCGCUAGUAAUCGCAGAUCAGCUAUGUUGCGGUGAAUACGUUCUCGGGUCU